rnacentral:rRNA from 1 species
AGUGAACGCUGGCGGUAGGCCUAACACAUGCAAGUCGAACGGCAGCACAGUAAGAGCUUGCUCUUACGGGUGGCGAGUGGCGGACGGGUGAGGAAUACAUCGGAAUCUACUUUUUCGUGGGGGAUAACGUAGGGAAACUUACGCUAAUACCGCAUAUGAUCUACGGGUGAAAGCAGGGGAUCUUCGGACCUUGCGCGAUUGAAUGAGCCGAUGUCGGAUUAGCUAGUUGGCGGGGUAAAGGCCCACCAAGGCGACGAUCCGUAGCUGGUCUGAGAGGAUGAUCGGCCACACUGGAACUGAGACACGGUCCAGACUCCUACGGGAGGCAGCAGUGGGGAAUAUUGGACAAUGGGCGCAAGCCUGAUCCAGCCAUACCGCGUGGGUGAAGAAGGCCUUCGGGUUGUAAAGCCCUUUUGUUGGGAAAGAAAAGCAGCAGGUUAAUACCCCGCUGUUCUGACGGUACCCAAAGAAUAAGCACCGGCUAACUACGUG